rnacentral:lncRNA from 10 species
CUGUGAUUUACCUGAACGUGGACUUGGGAAGAUAUGUGUGCAGUUGUCCUCAGGAGCCAGACAAGCUGGCUGUAGUGCACCUCUGUGAGGCUGCAAGCCUAGGCUUCUGUCUCUCUGGGUGGCACCCUUGACAGCCCUCCCCAGUUUUUCCCCACUGAGUGCUCUUCUCAGUUGGCGGGGUGGGGCGCCAACAGCCUAUUCUGGGAAGUCUCUGUCCAGUCAGUGGGCUGGAAACCUUGUGGACAUGCAGCUUCUCCCUGGGUUCAGGGGGUGGAUAGGGGCUCUCAUGUCCCUAAAAAUGUAGGCUCUGCCAGAUGGGGAAUAGUCACAGGAGGCUUGUGACAUCAAAAUGGCCUUGGAGGACCCUUCUGGCUGUAGCAUGGAAGAUGGAUUGAAGGAGUGAAGGCAGAAGACAGCAAGACCAGUAAGAGGAGAUGUUAAGUAGAUGAAAGACCAAGAAAAGCGAGGGAGAAAAUUCAAUAUAUUUGAGAACAAAGGCAGCCAUUAACCUGUCCAUCUUCAGAACCUGAAUCGGUAGCCAAAUCUCAGCAGACAGAGCUACGUAAUGCCAGAUAAAUCUUCUUGCUGAAUGAGAGACCCAUCCUACCAGCAUAAACAACAUUUGAACACUCUAGCCCCCAGCCUUACCAGCCAGCUCUCCAUUCUCUACACACAGAGUCUUUGUUGGGACACUCCAGGCCAGUUAUUUCACCAUCCUGAGUCUGGUCCCUCUCUGAGGCCCAGGGACAUAUAUUCAGUUCAGGUUUGAAUUAAGGAAAGAUACUACUACCUUGAUGGGGGAUCAGGACCACAGGACCAAAUUGAACCAGGCAAGACUGAAGGGGCCAAGGGAUAGAGGAUCCCCCUCCCGAAGGAGCCAACUGGAAGGCAACAAUUGGAUGGCCUGUUAAAGAAGAAAGAAGCUUAGGACAGGGAGAAUGCCACUUUCCAGUAUUACAAAAAUAUCCUUUAGGCAAGGAAAACUCAAGAUGCCAGAGAUCCCUGACACCUGGCUCAUAUGGUAGGCUGCGUGAUGAUGGAGCCGAGAGCUGAACCGCCCAAGGACAGAGGGCCUCAGCAGGAACUUUGGGAAUCAGCAUAUUGAUACCUAAGUGGAGACCUCUUUCCAGACCCAGAAACUGGAGCAUGCAAGGCCUUGGGGAAAUGACCAGCAAGUUCAUAGCCCAAGGUUUCUCUGACUGGUUGGAGAGUCUAAUGUAUUCCGUCAUGCCGUCUAAUUCAGAGUCUCCUUGCUUUGACUGUCUGUCUCCUGCUUCUGUUGGCUCUUGCUCAAGAUGUGAAAAGUCAUUGGAGAUGCUUAUUACCAUGGGGUGGAAAAGUCAGGGGGCUUUGAAGCAGAUUACUCGGUUCGAAUCUGGGCUCCCUAACUUUGUUGUCUUGAGCAGGUGGUUUCACGUUUCUAGCCUUGCUUUCUUUAUCUGAAGCAUGAAGCUGAUAAUUUCUACUUUCCAAAGUUGUUUUAUGAGCUUUAACUGAGAUAACUGAUAUACAGUGCCCAGCACAGUUCAUAUAGUGGGUUUACAAUUAAUGUUCAUUCUGCCCCUUCUUUCCUUAUCAAUAUAAGAAUAACCAAAUCCUAUAUAUUUACUUAACCCUUUCUCUCUUAUUGUAUAAGUUUUAAAUUUUAUAUCUCUAUCACCUAUUGUUCUACAGGUUUUAACAUGAGGGCUUUUAGUCUCUUUUUUUUUUUGAGACAGAAUCUCACUCGGUCGCCCCGGCUCCAGGCUGGAGUGCAGUGGCAUCAUCUCGGCUCACUGCAAGCUCCGCCUCCCAGGUUCAUGCCUUUCUCCUGCCUCAGCCUCUCGAGUAGCUGGGACUACCGGCGCCCGC